GGGUUGUGAGGUUAAGCGACUAAGCGUACACGGUGGAUGCCCUGGCAGUCAGAGGCGAUGAAGGACGUGCUAAUCUGCGAAAAGCGUCGGUAAGGUGAUAUGAACCGUUACAGCCGGCGAUGUCCGAAUGGGGAAACCCAGUGCAAUUCGUUGCACUAUCGUUAACUGAAUACAUAGGUUAACGAGGCGAACCGGGGGAACUGAAACAUCUAAGUACCCCGAGGAAAAGAAAUCAACCGAGAUUCCCCCAGUAGCGGCGAGCGAACGGGGAGCAGCCCAGAGUCUGAAUCAGCUUGUGUGUUAGUGGAACGGUCUGGAAAGUCCGACGGUACAGGGUGAUAGUCCCGUACACCAAAAUGCACAGGCUGUGAACUCGAAGAGUAGGGCGGGACACGUGGUAUCCUGUCUGAAUAUGGGGGGACCAUCCUCCAAGGCUAAAUACUCCUGACUGACCGAUAGUGAACCAGUACCGUGAGGGAAAGGCGAAAAGAACCCCGGCGAGGGGAGUGAAAAAGAACCUGAAACCGUGUACGUACAAGCAGUGGGAGCACCUUCGGGUGUGACUGCGUACCUUUUGUAUAAUGGGUCAGCGACUUAUAUUCUGUAGCAAGGUUAACCGUAUAGGGGAGCCGCAGGGAAACCGAGUCUUAACUGGGCGUUAAGUUGCAGGGUAUAGACCCGAAACCCGGUGAUCUAGCCAUGGGCAGGUUGAAGGUUGGGUAACACUAACUGGAGGACCGAACCGACUAAUGUUGAAAAAUUAGCGGAUGACUUGUGGCUGGGGGUGAAAGGCCAAUCAAACCGGGAGAUAGCUGGUUCUCCCCGAAAGCUAUUUAGGUAGCGCCUCGUGAACUCAUCUUCGGGGGUAGAGCACUGUUUCGGCUAGGGGGUCAUCCCGACUUACCAACCCGAUGCAAACUACGAAUACCGAAGAAUGUUAUCACGGGAGACACACGGCGGGUGCUAACGUCCGUCGUGAAGAGGGAAACAACCCAGACCGCCAGCUAAGGUCCCAAAGUCAUGGUUAAGUGGGAAACGAUGUGGGAAGGCCCAGACAGCCAGGAUGUUGGCUUAGAAGCAGCCAUCAUUUAAAGAAAGCGUAAUAGCUCACUGGUCGAGUCGGCCUGCGCGGAAGAUGUAACGGGGCUAAACCAUGCACCGAAGCUGCGGCAGCGACACUAUGUGUUGUUGGGUAGGGGAGCGUUCUGUAAGCCUGUGAAGGUGGCCUGUGAGGGCUGCUGGAGGUAUCAGAAGUGCGAAUGCUGACAUAAGUAACGAUAAAGCGGGUGAAAAGCCCGCUCGCCGGAAGACCAAGGGUUCCUGUCCAACGUUAAUCGGGGCAGGGUGAGUCGACCCCUAAGGCGAGGCCGAAAGGCGUAGUCGAUGGGAAACAGGUUAAUAUUCCUGUACUUGGUGUUACUGCGAAGGGGGGACGGAGAAGGCUAUGUCAUCCGGGCGACGGUUGUCCCGGUUUAAGCAUGUAGGCUGGUUAUCCAGGCAAAUCCGGAUAAUCAAGGCUGAGGUGUGAUGACGAGGUACCACGGUACUGAAGUGACAGAUGCCCUGCUUCCAGGAAAAGCCUCUAAGCAUCAGGUAACAUCAAAUCGUACCCCAAACCGACACAGGUGGUCAGGUAGAGAAUACCAAGGCGCUUGAGAGAACUCGGGUGAAGGAACUAGGCAAAAUGGUGCCGUAACUUCGGGAGAAGGCACGCUGGUGUGUAGGUGAAGUCCCUGCGGACGGAGCUGAGACCAGUCGAAGAUACCAGCUGGCUGCAACUGUUUAUUAAAAACACAGCACUGUGCAAACACGAAAGUGGACGUAUACGGUGUGACGCCUGCCCGGUGCCGGAAGGUUAAUUGAUGGGGUUAUCCGUAAGGAGAAGCUCUUGAUCGAAGCCCCGGUAAACGGCGGCCGUAACUAUAACGGUCCUAAGGUAGCGAAAUUCCUUGUCGGGUAAGUUCCGACCUGCACGAAUGGCGUAAUGAUGGCCAGGCUGUCUCCACCCGAGACUCAGUGAAAUUGAACUCGCUGUGAAGAUGCAGUGUACCCGCGGCAAGACGGAAAGACCCCGUGAACCUUUACUAUAGCUUGACACUGAACAUUGAGCCUUGAUGUGUAGGAUAGGUGGGAGGCUUUGAAGCGUGGACGCCAGUCUGCGUGGAGCCAACCUUGAAAUACCACCCUUUAAUGUUUGAUGUUCUAACGUUGGCCCCUUAUCGGGGUUGCGGACAGUGUCUGGUGGGUAGUUUGACUGGGGCGGUCUCCUCCCAAAGCGUAACGGAGGAGCACGAAGGUUAGCUAAUCCUGGUCGGACAUCAGGAGGUUAGUGCAAUGGCAUAAGCUAGCUUGACUGCGAGCGUGACGGCGCGAGCAGGUGCGAAAGCAGGUCAUAGUGAUCCGGUGGUUCUGAAUGGAAGGGCCAUCGCUCAACGGAUAAAAGGUACUCCGGGGAUAACAGGCUGAUACCGCCCAAGAGUUCAUAUCGACGGCGGUGUUUGGCACCUCGAUGUCGGCUCAUCACAUCCUGGGGCUGAAGUAGGUCCCAAGGGUAUGGCUGUUCGCCAUUUAAAGUGGUACGCGAGCUGGGUUUAGAACGUCGUGAGACAGUUCGGUCCCUAUCUGCCGUGGGCGCUGGAGAAUUGAGGGGGGCUGCUCCUAGUACGAGAGGACCGGAGUGGACGCAUCACUGGUGUUCGGGUUGUCAUGCCAAUGGCACUGCCCGGUAGCUAAAUGCGGAAGAGAUAAGUGCUGAAAGCAUCUAAGCACGAAACUUGCCCCGAGAUGAGUUCUCCCUGAGACUAUAAGUCUCCUGAAGGAACGUUGAAGACGACGACGUUGAUAGGCCGGGUGUGUAAGCGCAGCGAUGCGUUGAGCUAACCGGUACUAAUGAACCGUGAGGCUUAACCUUACAACGCCGAAG
rnacentral:rRNA from 1 species